rnacentral:ncRNA from 1 species
GUAUACUCUGCCGGUCGCUGCAAAACAGCGACCGGGAAUAGCAGCCCGAAAA